AGGAUAAACGCUGGCGGCGUGCUUCAGGCAUGCAAGUCGAACGGACCUUCGGGUCAGUGGCGGACGGGUGAGUAACACGUGAGCAACCUGCCCAGAAGCGGGGAAUAACCCACCGAAAGGUGAGCUAAUACCGCAUGUGAUGUACCUUCCCUGGAGGUCCAUUAAAGGCUUCGGCCACUUCUGGAGGGCUUGCGCUCGAUUAGCUAGUUGGUGGGUAAUGGCCUACCAAGGCUGCGAUCGAUAGCUGGUCUGAGAGGACGGACAGCCACGACGGGGACUGAGAUACGGCCCCGACUCCUACGGGAGGCAGCAGCUAGGAAUCUUGGGAAUGGGACGAAAGCCUGACCCAGCAACGCCGCGUGGGCGAUGGAAGGCCGUUAGGGUCGUAAACGGUCCCGUUUUGGUGGGGGACGUAUGAUGACCGGUACCCGCGAA
rnacentral:rRNA from 1 species